GUAAUUCACCCAUCACUCGGAUCGUCCGGCACGUACCUGCCGGUGAAGGGAAACAUCA
rnacentral:ncRNA from 1 species